GACAGCGAGGACGCUAAGCCCUGAAGAGGGUGGAUUGUGAGAUCCCAUAUCGAUUGGGGAGGGGAACAAGUGACAGUAAGAACGUUGGGCCCGAAAGGGGGUGGAUUUUGAGAUCCUACAUCGGUUGGAGAGGAGAACAAAACAUUUUCAUUCUUUAUAAGGUCAUGGAAAUCUCUUCCGAGCAGAAACACAAUAAAACAUCGUUUUCAUAACCAAACUAACUAGAACAAUAAUUAAGUAACAAAAUUCCAUUGAUAAUUACAAGAAACGCAACAAUUUCAAUGAUUACUACAUAAACAGAAGCUCAUCUAUACUACACAGAGAGGUCCCUAUCUCACAACCAUCCAACGAUUCACGGGUGAAAUCAAUCAA